rnacentral:rRNA from 1 species
AGAGUUUGAUCCUGGCUCAGGAUGAACGCUAGCGACAGGCUUAACACAUGCAAGUCGAGGGGCAUCAUGAGGUAGCAAUACCUUGAUGGCGACCGGCGCACGGGUGAGUAACGCGUAUGCAACCUGCCUGAUACCGGGGUAUAGCCCAUGGAAACGUGGAUUAACACCCCAUAGUACUUUUAUCCUGCAUGGGAUGUGAGUUAAAUGUUUAAGGUAUCGGAUGGGCAUGCGUCCUAUUAGUUAGUUGGCGGGGUAACAGCCCACCAAGACGAUGAUAGGUAGGGGUUCUGAGAGGAAGGUCCCCCACAUUGGAACUGAGACACGGUCCAAACUCCUACGGGAGGCAGCAGUGAGGAAUAUUGGUCAAUGGACGAGAGUCUGAACCAGCCAAGUCGCGUGAGGGAAGACUGCCCUAUGGGUUGUAAACCUCUUUUAUAAGGGAAGAAUAAGUUCUACGUGUAGAAUGAUGCCUGUACCUUAUGAAUAAGCAUCGGCUAACUCCGUGCCAGCAGCCGCGGUAAUACGGAGGAUGCGAGCGUUAUCCGGAUUUAUUGGGUUUAAAGGGUGCGUAGGCGGUUUAUUAAGUUAGUGGUUAAAUAUUUGAGCUAAACUCAAUUGUGCCAUUAAUACUGGUAAACUGGAGUACAGACGAGGUAGGCGGAAUAAGUUAAGUAGCGGUGAAAUGCAUAGAUAUAACUUAGAACUCCGAUAGCGAAGGCAGCUUACCAGACUGUAACUGACGCUGAUGCACGAGAGCGUGGGUAGCGAACAGGAUUAGAUACCCUGGUAGUCCACGCCGUAAACG